GUCUGGGAUAGGAAAGUACAGCAAUGGCUCUUCUCAACAGAUGAUGGUAUUUCUGCUGAAUGAACUGAAACUGAUGCUGCACAAGCAACUUAAGAGAGGAGACAGUGUUCACCUCAAAGGGGAAGAUAAACUCCUUAUUCAAAGGACAAAGUGAAGACUAAACAGGAAAAAGAAAACAACAACAACAACAACAAAAACCCACUUUGAUAAGCUUCUCUGUACUAAAGAGUCAGGUAGAGGCAUCUGAGAAAGAAUGAGAUCAAGAGAGGGAAGAAUUCUCAUUCUGUCUAACUUCAAGCAUCCAGCUCAAGCUUCUUAUAUGCAAAUGUUACAGAUAGGCGCCUGAAGAAGUCCAUUUGGGGUCUAUUUUUGAUUACUUUAAAGAAACUGGCAUUGUAAUUUAGGAUAGUUCAAUGUAGGUUGACUAACUUAACUUAAAAAUCAUUUUGCUAGUGGAUGGUAGUUUCUGUGAAAUCCUCUAGGCUCAGGGGGUAUUUGAUCUAUGUACUCCAGUUUCUUCUUGGUUCAUUGUCUUUUUCCAACACCAACUCUCUUCUGAAUAAACUGCUCAGAUAUGUUAUUUAUUGCCUGUGGGAUGAUUCUGAGGUUCUUGCUGUCGUGUUAUCAUCAGUAAGCUCCCAGGUUUUGCCCAGCUUGAAUCAGUGGCAAGGUUAGAAAACAAAGCAUGUCAGAAAUAGGUCAGAGGAUCACAGGUUUAUAUCAGCUGGGACAUGGUGCCUUCUUUUUUUAAUGCAAAAAUUAUGUGUGUGAGUUUACUGCACAAACAUGAAAUCAAAAGGAACAUUUACAAGAGCAGUUUACUACUUCAGACAUGUUGCAAAAAUAUGGCAGUAAAGAUAAAAAAAAGAGAGCGAUCCAAGAUGGUGCAAUAGCUUUCAUCAUCCAGUCUCAUAAAUGUCUAAUCCCACUCUCUUUCAGAUCAUGUUUAUUUUCAUAUAAAUUCCUUCAAAUUGUAGUGUUGCUGUUUCCUUAAAUGACUAAUUGUUUUAUGCUACCCUUGUGAGCCCCAUUUAUAUCAGUGCGUUUCCAUACCCUGUGGCCUGGUUGAUGUGGCUAUUCCAUCCACUAAAGAAAAAGAUGUUCUGUAAUAUGAUGGCUUGUUAAUGUUUCCGUCAGUUAUUUGUUCACCAUGUUUCGCAAAUUUUCUUAGUAAAAAAGCAUAUAUGUCAUUUAGCUUUUUUUUUUUUUUUUUUUUAAGAGUUUCAUUUCUCCUUGAUGUUUGCCAAAGAUUUGGUGUAUUUGAGCAAGAGGAAGUAAUUUAAUAGACAGAAAUCUUGUUCUUGGCCUUCUGUUUGGACAGUAGGUGUUCCACAUUGCUUGAAAGUGAGCAGACUAGUUACAUGACAGUGGCAGAUGAAGUUUUAGGGGCUACUGUGGUUCUCAUCCCAGAGCAUGAAGCAUGUUGUAGGUGCAGUUCCCCAGAUUCAGUUUGGGCAGGUAGGUAAGCUUCCUACUAAGUCAUGAUUAUCUCUCUUAAUAAUCAAUUAUUUAGAACUCCUGCCAUAACAUGCAAGUGUAUUGAUUACAUCACUGGAAAUUUUUCACCUCAUCAUACUUUCCAGCCUGUUUCUGGAUAUGCUGCUGAGGUGAGCUGCUCUCACCUCACCUACUGAGUGAAUUAGGUAUUGCUCACUGCAAAGACCAAGAUGCAAAAACCAGACAAUUCUUUUUCCAUUUGUGUUCCUUGUGGAAGAACAAAAUUUUGCCUGUUCACAUCUUUUGCUGAAAAAACGCUGAAAAAAACCAUUCCUCACUCGCAACAAUUGAAACUUUACAAAUAACAGUUUUGUGAUUCUCCUUUUAAAAUAAAGAAGUAACUUGACUGUAAAGCUCAAAAUAUUUCUGUACAUGCUCCCAUUAUAUCACAAAUGUGAUAAACUGAAAGAAAACCAUGUUGUGUUCCUCUCUGGCUCUCUCACUCCUUCCUGUGAUUGCAUUUAAGAAUGUCUUUACAUGAAAUAAGUCAACAAGAUAACUCCAGUUCAUAAUGCUGCAUGGAUUUAUACAUACUUGGAGAAUGAAGCAAGGGACUGACCUCUUGGCAGAGUUCUAAAUAUUUUGAAACUAAAUGCUUUUAAUUCAUGAAUACAUAUGAAUAUUUUCAUGCAUGUAUAUGCAUAUAUGUAUGUAUGUAUGCAUAAUGAUUAAGCAGAACAUGGUAGCCUAAGUAAUAAAAUUAUGCACAUUGCAUUUGUAUGAACAAUAAACUGUGCACUAUCUUAACAGAACCCUGCCGUAAGUACUUUUUAAUCACAUUUUUCCAGCACUAUGCAUUUCACAUACAGCAUUCAAAUGAUAUCACAAGAUUUUAAUAAGAAAUGUUGAUGUUUUUAUUACAUUCAUAUGGGAAGCGUAACUUUACAUUCCUGCAUGUUUACUGCACUUUCUUUAAUACUCCAGUUGUCAGGAAAAAACGAGAAAAUACUAAAAGAAAAUUAGUUUAGAUUAAAAGGCUGAGCCCC
rnacentral:lncRNA from 1 species